rnacentral:sRNA from 1 species
AGAGAGAAAAUAUAUAACAUAAAAGAAAUGGAUAAUUUAAAAAAUACAUCAUCUUUAAGACCAUUAACCGACUCAAUGCUUUUGGACCUUACGGGAAUUAGGAGAACUUGGAUCUGCACGCUGAAUGCAUAGCCUGGACUGAUGACCAUUUCCGUUGGAGGAUUCUCUCUCUCUGAGGAGGUGCGCUCUACCUCACCCUGCUGCCCUCUAACUGCUCCAUAUUGACAAUUUGCAUUUUAUUUUGGACCAGGGCAACUGUAAUGGUAAAUUGGUCUGCUGUCUUUAAUCUGGGACCAGCAGCAAAUCAUUUUUAAUAGCCCUUAAUUCCCGGUCUAAUGAGAUCUCUGCAUUCAGCAGUGACUCAAAACGUGUACCGCCAAAGGGUAGGGUGGAUGAUUCACAAAGGAGAGACGGAAGAAAGCCAUUAGGUAACCUUAGGCAGCCUCUACCGGGCUCGGGAUGACUCUCCAUAGCACAGCUUCUAGGACCAGUUCCCUCCAUUUUCUACCUGUCUGAAGGAUGCCACCACUGACCUUUCUCAUUGGCUGUGCAUCACCCAAGUCCACCCUCACCCACUUCUCUCCUGGCUCCCAAACUCGGGGUCCUAGCUGUCCAUAAACACUCACAUAUUUAGAGAAAUGAUAGCAAGAAAUGAAAUUGGAACAGUGCACUUAAAGAAUGUCAAUCUUUGCCAAAAACACUGGAAAAGUCCCCACAGCCUGGGCCUCACUUCAGAGCCUCCUCUGUUUUCUACUUCUUCCUUCAAUCUUGUUCUCUUCCCACUGCUUUCCCCUGGCCUCUCUCGGGAUGUCCCACAUGUGGAGUUGUGUUUCCCAUGGCAUGAGCAAUUGUUCUUGGUGGGAUCUUACUUGAUAUGUCUUUUCCUUUCUUGAUCUCCCUUGCUUCCCUCCCCCACUCCUUUUCUUUUCCCCUUUUCCUCUCCUCAUUACAGAAACUUCUGAACAUGAUGGGCAUCAUAUUCUGAAGAGACGUCUUUCAGUUCAAUUCAAUUUAACCUACAGUGCACAAGAAUAAUGGUAGUGGUAAACGUCUUUCUGGAGGCCCUAAUGCUCACAUAAUUAACACUGUGACACGGGUUUUACCCUUUCCCCUUCUGAUGUGCUAAUGCCGUCACCAUCAAUACCAGUUUCCAACUUUUAAGAAAGUCAGCGUAGGAGACAGAGGGAGUGGCUCAGCAGUUAGGAGCUCUUCCAGAAGACUGCGGCUCCACUUCCAACACCCAAGUGAGGCAGCUCACAGGUACCUGCAAUUCCAGCUCCAGGGAUCCAAUGCCCUCUCCUGGCUUGCACAUGUACAUGUACUUGUGCAUGUGUGUAUAUAUGUGCACAUAUGUAUUAAUACAUAAUAUAUUAUAAUAGUAUUAAUAAACUAACUUCAAAAAUGUUGCCGAGUUACUUCCACUUACUUCCUUUUUAUUUGUGUGUGGGUGUAAUUACUCCACAUAGCUACCAAUGGCCAAUUGGCCUUUUCCCAUUUCCUGGCAAAUGUAUUUUUGGCUGUUUUUUUUUUUUUUUUAAUCACCAUUAAAUCAACAGUUAAAAAAAAGUUUGUUUUUUUGUUUUUUGUUUUGUUUUAAGAUUGAAUUAUUCUAAGGUCAAUUUGCUGAGAAUAAAACUCUUAUCUCAACUUCAGUUCUGACUUUGGAAUUUGCUUCUUUGUGGCCAAAAUGAUUCUCGUGAUCUCUUCAAGACCCAGAACUGGGAAAAGACUGGGCUUACAGCUGGGCUAUGCUACUUUCUCUAAUUAUGGAGACUGCCCACUAACUUCCCCUUGCACAUGUGAAAUCCAGCCCCACUGACAGCGGCACCCACUUGAGAAAGCCUUUCCUACUUCCAACGUAAGGGAUUUCCCAAGAAUAGAACAAACUCUGUCCUCACAUGAAGCUUAGCCCAUCUCCUUAUAGAGAAUGUGUGGAGUACAAACAUUACCCAGACAACUUUAGGGGCGCUCCCAACACUGCAGAAACCAACUGCAGCCCAUGCAGCUGUCUACACCAACUGUGCUUAAUGUAUGUAUACUUACAUGCUAUACCACCACCACCACACCCCGUCUUCCUGGCCUUUCCACCUUACAAAACCACCUUCCUAAACAGGAAUUCUCCAUUUCCUUCGCUCUUAGCCCCUGGCAAUCCCCACUGUAACUUCUAUCUCGUAAGUGUUCUUACUCUUGAGUACCACAGAGAAGGGAACAUGAUAGAAAUGGGAGAGCGGAAACUAGGCAGGCUGUUUUAGGGCCAGGACCUUGACUCUUGUCAAAAGCAUGGCUGCCAGAAGCCAGGAAUGUCCUUUGCUUUGCCCAGAGAUGCCGGAAAUGAUGGAGGCUCCAGUCUUGGUUUGGUUUCUUGUCACCUUUCUUUCGCACAGCUGCCUGGGAGCUACAGUGAGGGUGUGACCCAGUCUAGAUGACGCCACCAUCCAGUUUGUACAUUUUAGCUGUCGUUGUGACAAAUGGGACUGUGAACACCCUUAUUCUUUAUAAUGGCAUUUUCAAACACACACACACACACACACACACACACACACACACACACACACACACACACGUAGAAUGCAUAAUAUAACUGGACCCAUGCACUCAAGUUCAACCCCAGUCCAAGGACUCCAGAUUUCAAAGAUGUGAAGAUGGCUCAGUCCCCGAUGCUCACUGGUAGGAAUGUUCCCGUGUGACUGGGAAAUGACCCCCGUUGUGAUAGUCCUUGGGUCUUAUGGUACUAAUCUCUUGAAACCACAGAACUCAGAGAGCAUGUCCUCCUCCAAUUUACCAUUCUGAUUGCAGAUCCCCCACCCCCAAGGCAGGGUGGCCUGUAUCCCAGCCUGGUCUCAAACCUCAAACUUGCUAUCUAGCCAAGGAUGGUUCUCCACUGCUGAUGUCCCUGCCUGCGCCUCUCCAGCGCUGUGGCUGCAGGUGUGCCAUGGUGCCCAGUGUAAUACAGUGCAGGGCUGGAACCCAGGGCCUCCUACGAUGCGAGGCAACCGUGCAGCCAAUGGAGCUGCGCUGUUGCCAGUCCCUUGUCAGAAAUUCCAAAGCAGAGAGCAGCCUCCUUCAGCUCAACUCUAAAAAGUACAGCUUGCUUCGAUGGAGUUGGUCCAUUCUCACAUGUGGCCUUGUAUUUCAAUCUUCAAAAUGCCCAGCACAAAUAAAUGAGAUGCUGUGGGAGGGAAUGAGACCCAGAAAACAAGAAUGGAAAUAAACAAAACCAGAAGUGAAUGAAAACAGACCAGGUAGGUAAAUUAUUACUUGAGGAAGCUAUACCACCAGUCCUAAAAAGCAUGCCCAAAGCCCUUGAAGAUAUAACAGGAUCGGGGAGGCCGAUGACACCUGCCUGCAUGGUGGGCCGUGCAAUCUGACCUGGCAAGGAUUCCACUCUUACCACCCACUAAGCAAAGUAGUUCACACCCUUGGAUCUCAUUUUCUGCCUCUGCGAAAUGGAGAAAAAUAAGACAUGCAUUGUUCAGUUAAUGAAGGAUGAAAGAUAAUGUUUCAAAGUGACCCGGCGCAUGAGAUAGUGCCUCGAGUCUAGGCGUAUGUGUUACAUGCACGCACGGUCAACUUCAUGUGUGGUUAUCCUGUAGCUCACUUAAAAGGCAAUUCUUAGAGUUCAAAAUUUUUGUGUCGCAAGAAGAAAAGGGGAAAGGGAUUUUAAAAUAGAGACACCCCAGUUUCUGCUCAGAAUGUGAGUCAUUAUGUUCUCUGAAUAUUUGGAAGAUGUCACGGUUGUUCGACUGGACAACUCAUUGCUGAUAUGAAAUGUGAUGCUACCAUGCCCCACGGACCCUUUCUGAUGAGGCACGUGUGUCUGUGCAUGAGAAUGCUUGUGUACACGUGUGUGCACCCCUUACAGUUUGUAAAGCUAUACGUUAGCAACAAAGGGACACAAAAUUGCUAGGACCGAAGCUCUCCUUGAGGAAGCAACAGUAACUGUGUCCAUAGGCAGACAACUAUACAAGGCCAAAGCCUCCUUUUGGGACAGAAAAAUGAGACCCACAGAACAAUGUGAAGUAAUUAGUGUUUACAAAGCACGUUGAUAUGCUCAUGCAAAAGGAACUUUGAAUGUAAACAUUUUCAGGGCACUUGUUUUGUGAGACCAGAUUGAAAGCAGGGCAGUAUAAUUAGCAUGUUAGGAAGCCAGAAAGGGUUUUAAAGAAGGUAUGUACGCAGAUGUCCCCUGCUGAACAAGAGGAUGCAAACAAACCCAUUGUAAUCAAACGAUUACUGAAUGCAACUUGUUUCUCUCGUGUGGGCAUCUGUGUAGAUAAUACAUCAGGAAAUCUGGAACUAUGAAUGUAUCCAGCUCCAGAAAAGCCAAGGCCUCCGUACGAGUAAGCCUUAAAUAUUUUGUACAAACUCCAAUUAACUUCAAGUGCUAACAGCCUUACUAAGAUGGAAAUUCUUAAGCAAUUAGCCUCAUUCCCAACAGGAUCAAAUGCAAGCAGCAGCCAAGGCGGUUUAGCGCCCAAGCUCAGUGUUCAAAGGGAAGCUGAUGGGAGCUGAGUGUGAGCUCUGUAAGGCGAAGAUAUUCCACACAUGGCCCCAAGGGCGGGCAUUUUCAUGUUCGAGCUCUCUCUCUCUCUCUCUCUCUCUCUCUCUCUCUCUCACACACACACACACACACACACACACACACACACACACACGGCCCCAUGGGUGGGCAUUUUUGCCCUCCUAUACACACCCCCCAGGGUGGGUAUUUUCUGGAAACAGAUGUACCCAGUUUAAAUCUAAAGUUUUGCUUCUGAAAAAAAUUUGGGUAAACUGAAUUUUAAAAAAUUUAAAUUGUAUCUCAAAUGCCCCCAGGAGGUUUCAUAUCUCAGGGUUUCAUAUCUGUCAUGAAUAUUCUUGCAAGUAAAGAACUGUUUGAUGAUGAGCUGGAAAGGCACCUCUAAGUCACCUGACUUUGCUUUGUUGAGUCAUUUGGGAUUUGUUUUGGGACACUUUAAAUAAAAAGAAAACAAAACCACUAUUCCUCUUUGAAUAUUUAAUUUCAAGGUAUCAUAUUUCCUUAAGUGUAAUUUUUAAUCUGUUCUGGGGAUUAACCUAACUUAUUUACUAUCCCCACCCCGAGAAUACAACUCCGGUUUUGAAAUGGAACCAAAGGGCUAAGUGAUCUGAAUUUGCUGUGAGAAUUUAUUUUUUGCAGUCAAACUUUAGAACUCCUGUGACCUACCUGGUUGGCAAUACCUACCCUUUUGGAUUUAAUGAGAAGGGAAGAGCUCCUAUGUAAUCAGUAUGGUAUUGCAGCUGACGGCAGUCAGGCAGGAUACAUAGAGUAGAGUCAGGAACAUAUGUGUCAACGAGACAAUCUACUGGAGACACUGGCUAUAACUCCAAUAGGCUGCGUAAUAGUUCACAGUUGAGUUAAGGUUCCCAAAGUCUCUUGAUCCAUGAAUUCGUUAGUCUUGGAAAGUUUUCAUAGUGUCUCUUGGCCAAACAAAAUACCUAAUAGCUCAUUCAUUAAGUAGUCAGGGUCAAACAAUUCUUAAGUAGCUGCUUUUGCAAGCCAGUAGGAAUUUGAAGAACACAAUACUAAGAGUUAAAAACAAGAGUGUCCAUUUAUUUUUAAAUCACAAGUCCUUAGGAAAGGGUAUGCACAUCUGCCAGGCCCUGUGCAGCUUCUCAAGUCCUAGGGUCAGACUGAUGCUUCCAACUACACUACCUAACCUCUAUUGCCUACCGUAAAGUAUUUGCCUAUUAUGUCCCCAAACUCAACGUUAGAGGGAGAUGACAUCAUCAAAAGGAAUGUAGCGCCACCUAAUGUUGAAACUGUGAACUACUUCAAGGUACUGGUGUGUUUGGGGGAGGGGUGCAGGUCGGGUGGGGGGGUCUGAAAAAUCAUCAAAUAGCCCAUGUUUUACUUUAAAACUCCAAAUAUCCUCUAUGAAGUGACUGUGGUACCCUGGGGUUGAGAAAUACAAAGUUGAACAGUAAGAAAGGACUUUUCAUUUUCCCACCUAAUAGAGUCCUGUACUUGCGUGUGUGUGUGUGUGUGUGUGUGUGUGUGUGUGUGUGUGUGUGUGUGUGUACAGAGCCCAGUACAAAGUGGUAGUUUCGUACUGUGAGAUGACCCUACCCUUAGUUUUCCUAAAACCAUGCUAUAGACCCUCUGACUUCUAUGCGCUGGUUCCAUUUGCCGCUGAGAAAGAGAGAUGCGUGUGCAUGAAGAAUUAAUCUAUACCAGCUUUGAUGUGUACCUUAUCUUCAGAUGAAAGUGUUGACACCCUGGAUAGCUUACCCUCUGACAAAGCUUGUAUGGCAAUCCCCAUGCAAAGGUGUUGAAAAAAAUUCAGUCUUCCCCACAAGUUUCUCGAUUAGGUGACUUGUUUAGUUUGUAUUAACUAGAACCUUUUUGUGUGACCAUUGUUUUGUGUUGUCACAUAACCUAAUUUCCAAUACUGACACCGUCACUGAAUUAACCAUUUUAGAAACCAUCAGUCUCUAAUGAAAAGAUACUGGAUAUCUAGGCACAAUGGCUGGAAGGCAUUGAUACACAGUAUAGAAGGUUAAAUAAUAAACGGCUAAGACAUGAAACAUUUGCUUUGUGAAGAGACGCUGGAGGCAUGAAUUCAGGAUGUUAAGUAGAAAUCACCCAUUUCAGUUAUAGAUGGUGCCCUCCAUUAAGCACAAAGUGGAGGUUUCUUUUGAGAGAUGGCCCUACCCCCAAUCUCUCUAAAACAGAGACCCCGUUACAAAGCAAGCCUCUGACUUCUCUGCGCAUGGCCACUGUUGAUGAACUGCUGAACGAGUCUAUAAUGCUGGGUUUGCUAUUAGCCCAGACUCUGUCUUUUCUCAUUUGAGGUGGGUGGUGGGUGGAGAGGAGAUUGACCUCACCAUGUCACCAUGGCUGGCCUGGAACUCACUACAUAGACAGGCUGGCUUGGAACUUACGGUAGUGCUCUGGUCUGCCUCCCGAGCACUGGGGUGACAGGUGUGUGCUACCAAGCCUAGCCUUUUCUACCUUUUAAAACCAACUCUGGCCAGCUACGACCGACCUUGCCUCUUAAACUUCCUACACAUUCACUUCACUUCCCCUUUCUUUUGCCUCAGGGCUCUCCUCUUUCUCCCAGUUUUAUCUGCAGACUUACUUUUCCUCUCUGCUACUUUGCAAAGGCCUCCCACGCAAAUCUGAGGUAACAGCAAUUUAACCGAGUGCCUCGGGUGGCAUAAUCAGCCUUCCUGAUUCCUUAGAGUCAAGCCCUGGCUGAAUCUGGGAUUAGUGAUGGUUAUCUCCUCAGGACCAUGGCACUCUGCAGUCCCGGAAGAAUUACAGGAGGGGGGAGAUUCCACUCAGUUGUGUUAAGUGGGUCAUUUUUUAAUCAGCAAGGCCCAGAACUACAUUACCAACGUGGACUAAAAUGAACACAGCUCUAAUGGCGGUGUGCUCAUUGUUAAGAUAUUUGUGGUUUGCUACAGCAAGGAAGAUCCGAGGGCCUAACCCAGUGCAAGUGGACAAAACGAACCAAUGACUGCAGCAAGAAGGACACCCCAUGUUGUGACCACAGCAGCUUUGAGGACCCACAUUCUCCUAGGACAGACAUGGAUGUGUAUCCUGACGUGUAUCCUGUUACUUAUUUUCAGACCUGCUGCCAUACAGCAUUUCAUCUCAGGAACAUUUUAGCUCAUCCGAGAAAAAGAAAAGCAAAACCGACCAACCAACAAAGAAAACAAAACAAAACAAAACCCUAGAAGCCUUGUCUGGUGGCAACGUCACUUAAAGAGUUUAGCUUCUGAUGGUAGCAAUGAUGCAACGUAACAAUAUGAAAUUCUUUCAUAAUACUUACGAGGAAGUUAUUACUGGUGGAAAUGGCAACGUUUCCUAACAAACCAAGGAUUGCAGGGACAGACCACCCAAAUGUAUUAUUAUAUAAAGAUGUCAGUUACAUAAUUACAUGAGAAAACAACACAUUUUACUUUUUUUUUGUUUUUUAACAACAAUUAUCCUCCCUGGGGAAGAGGGGCUGAAUUAGCUGCUCAGCAGAGUGCCUCCUAGGGGCACCAAUUAUCUCAGACACAUUCAAACCAGGGCCUUGGAAAUGUACAUUAAACCGGAGAGAGAGGAGCCCUCUCUUAGCCCUGUCCCCAACUUCUGCCAUGUCUGGUGUGGCUCAGUGAGACCACCAACAGUGAACGUGUUUCCAAACUCCAAUGCACAGUUAAACGCGGACCAUACUGGCUCCCUCAGCCUAAGUGUUACUUUUUCUUUGUCUAGAAUUAUUUAAAAGGUCUUCUACUGGGCUGCAAUGUGGCUCAGUGAGAAAACACUCCUUUUAGUAUAUUGGAGAUGCUGGGGGCACAGGUUUGAAGGUCCUUGACCCACAGAUCUCCCGAAUGUGAGAACAAGGAAUGCUGAGCGCAAAGGAGCCUCUUUCCAAUAGAAAGGGUAUAAGAAAGCUGGGGAGCUGAAAGCAUUUAUGAGCCUGGUAAUCUAGGAUAUCGCAGGGUCAAGGCCACAUGAAGCUCCUACAACCAGGACUGGAGAUACCUAAGUCUAAAUGGCUUACAUUAUCUGGAUAGCCAGGGGUUCCCUGAAAGCUCCCACAACAGAGACCAUGACUGAGACUGGGCCGGGCCCUUCCUUAGGCCUUUAAGCCAGUAUAGGCAGCCUUUCUCUAGAAGCCAUCUUCUGGGAAGAAACAACAUAUACCCUGAGUUAAGUUCCAGUGCAACGGUGCGUCCUUGUGCACCAGAAACUGUAUUACACUAGCAAGCUCUUAUCCAAGUUAAGCUGUUUAAAUCUGUUGGGGAUAAACCACCAGGAAACAGACUCUCUAGAACAGUGGCUCUCAACCCUCCUAAUGCCGUGAUCCUUCAAUAGUCCCUCAUGUUGGGCUGAACCCCAACCAUAAAAUUAUUUUUCAUUGCUACCUCAUAACUGUAAUCCUGCUACUGUCAGGAAUUGCAAUGGAAACCUUUUUCAGCUAGGAGUUUGCCAGAGGGUCAUGACCCACAGGUUGAGAAUCACUGCUCUAAAAGGGUUUGCAUCCUCACUUCUCUGUUCAUUUCCCUACCAGACCCCUGCAGACACACACACAGCCCCGCCCCCAAUGAGACCCUAGGCUCUAUCUGCAGCACUGCAAAAGACACAUGUACACUUAAGCACGUUGUUUCCUAAUGGGCCCUGGGGUACGCUUUGAAAGUACAGUGGAGAGGAGAGUAUGUGUAAAAUGUUAGUUGCAUUCACAAACUCUCUGGAUAUCAGGACUGUGUGAUUGGUGCACUCACACAUCAAUCACUGCUUGGUUUUGUAGCAUUUUGGGAGAUAUAUUGAAGGUCUGACAUCAGAAAAAAAAAGAGUUCUAUUAGUAUUGCCAAUAUAGCUAAGAACUAUGGAGUUCAUCAACACAGUACAAACAGCAAAGAAAAGACACUUUCAUCAAGGUGCUGAGCUCUCAAAGGUGAUGCUAAUGGCGUGUCUUUAGAUGGGGGCAUUCUUCCCACUGCACGCUGGCCUUAGUCCAUUAAACACACUAGUGCUUCCUAGUCACAGAAACCAAAGACAUCUCCCUAGGUUUUCAGUACUUCCCCAUACUCACUCAAAGAGUCUGUAUCGACAAAAAGAAACAAAGCCAAAAUAACGUGAUGCUUCUCAAGCUACAUACGUGGUUUAAGAGGUAUGUGUGCUGGUCCCAGCAGCCAAUGCUUGGAAUGAACCAAGGGGCCAGCCAUGGAUGGAGAAGUAAAGGAGGUGUGGCAUUACAUAUACAGUGGAGCCAUCCAGGAGGACAGAUGAAACCGGAAUUGAUCGCGGUACGUGAACUAAACCAGACUGCGAAAGACAAAUCCGGCAUAUUAUCUCUCAUAUAUAAUAUUCGGAAUCUUUAAAAUACAUGAAUGUAGAACGGAGACUAGUUAGGAAGAGGGAAGGGAGUAGCGAUGGGGAAGGGGAUAGGAGGGAAAAUAGGUAGUGAAGGUGACUGAAAUACACGCUGUCCACAAGCCUGUCUGCAUUAAGCCUAUUACUUUGUCCAAUGAAUCUAUACCAAUGAAAAUCCUGCAAGAAAAAAGGUGUGAGUACGGGGAUCGGGGUUGUAUCUUAGUAACUAGAUUCAACUUUGCUUCCUCAUGGGCUUCUUUCAGGAAUGUGCAGAGCAGGCAGCUACCUCAAGGAGGGAAGUGGGCAAACAUCACACUGCUCUUGACUUUAGCCCCCUAGCUGGGAUGCUCAGCCGUGGGGAAGGCAUUGUAGAGCAGUGUCCUCUGGGGCUGACAAACCUCCUACGGAGGGGCUGCAGGUGAGGAAACCGGAGUGCGAGGGCAGGCAGAGAUGAAGCACAGACAAACACUCACUGGCCCAACCCUCGCAGCAGGUGACUGCCGACACAGACCUGGGAAGUGUUCACAGCUGAUGAGGGAUCUCAUCGGCAGCUCACGGCUAUGAUUUGACAAGACUUGUCAAGUCUUCUGUGGUCAGUGCAACAGAGGGACGAGGAGAUCAGCGGGGAAAGAGCCGGGGUCAGUCCUCAUCUCCAAUUUUGCAUCCAUGCGUUUCGCCGACAUAGAAACAGACACGAAGGGUUUGGAGAGACAGCUCAAUCGAUAAAGUCCUUCCUCAAAAGCAUGAGUUCAAGCUCAAGAUCCCAUGUUUACAAAGUUAGUGUGAUGGCACACACAUUUAGGAAGCACAAACAUGAGGGUCCCUGGGGCUUGCUGGCCAGCCGACUUAGUCUACUUGGUAAGAUUUGUGAAGCAUUAGGUCCUCAAGGCUCACAGUUGCUUAGAACUGUAAUCUCCCACCUUACAUACUGACCCUGGGCCCUCUUGGAAAAGAGAAACUGUGAUUUCUUAAUGGGCAUGCUGGAAGAGGAUUGAUUGUUGGCUCUCCCAUUAGCUAGCUGAGCCAUUUAAAUGUCCCCUGCCUCAGUUUCCUGGUCUGUAGGCAUGGGGCCAGAGUCCAUUAAGGUAUCUCUAUCUGAAACUGGGCUGCAUGGAGACUUUGUAGGGUACCUGUGAAGGGCACUGAAUCUACGUUCUGUUUUCUCUAUGGGAUGGAUGUGUCUCUCUUUUCAAAAGACAAAAAACCAAAACCAAAAAAGUGGUAGGGGCAUCAAUGAAAGCGUUCAUCCAGUCAAGCACCAGGACUAAUGGAGUGUUUACAGGCAGGCAGUGGGCCUCAGCCUUUGAGUAUCUUACCUUUUACUCCUCUCAUCCUCCUUUCAAGCUGUCACCCCUCAUGUCUCUUUCCUCCCUUCUUUACUCUGCUCCGGUUGUAUUUAACAUCCUGAGAGUGACUACUGCAUACAAAGCACGGUAGCUCAAUACGGAUGGGGUAGGUAGAGGCGAGCAGGACCUCAGUGCUAUAUGGAAGGCAGCUCUGUGUCUCAGGAGGGUAACUCUGGCAGAACCGCACAGGUCAGGUUAGAGACGGACAAGCACGGACGUAGCAUACUGUCUCAGAGAGGAGGGCAUAAAACUCAGCCUGAGAGCUGGGAUGCUACCCAGUAUCAACCCAGAGCCAGGUACCUGAUCCAUGAUGGAGCUGCCUAGCACCGAGCUAGAUGCGGCAAACAGGAGGCCCAAUGCUAGCUCAGGCUGUGCAAGAACUGACGAGACACAGAACAAGGGACGGGUUGAGGAGAGAGAGGUAAAUUCCAGCUGAAAAAAUGAGUCUACCUAGUGAAAGAGUGAUGCUGGGGCCAAUGUGACAUGGGGACAUUCCUGUAAGGCAUGUCAGAGGACAGUGAAAAGAGGGUGAGAGACUACAUCAUGAUCAGGAGAGGACUGGCAAGACAUGAGGAGGAACAGGGAAGGAAAGGAAGAGCUGUGGGGCUCUGAUCUGACAGGCUGUUCUCGAGGGCCUUGGAGGAAAAGCUGGGUGGAGAAGAAUGCAAACAGAGGCUGAAGGAAAGAAGCAAGUUGCUGGGUGAGGUGGAAAUCAGCAUGGGAGAUUGUGAGUUCUAGGCUAACGUGAGCUAUGUAGUGCGAGCCUGGGCUAGAAAGAAAGCCACUGCCGCCACUGCCACCACCACCAUUACUGCCAAUAACAGCAACAGAAAAGGAAUGGUGCACAGUGCCAACAUAAGCUGAGAAGCGUGAGAAAAAGCGAA